GACGAACGCUGGCGGCGUGCCUAAUACAUGCAAGUCGAACGGUCUUUUCUAUGGAAGCUUGCUUCCACUGAGAAGAUAGUGGCGAACGGGUGAGUAACACGUGGGUAACCUGCCCAUAAGAGGGGGAUAACAUCCGGAAACGGGUGCUAAUACCGCAUAGUUUUCUUGAUCGCAUGAUCGGGAAAGGAAGACGGCCUUUGUGCUGUCGCUUAUGGAUGGACCCGCGGCGUAUUAGUUAGUUGGUGAGGUAACGGCUCACCAAGACGAUGAUACGUAGCCGACCUGAGAGGGUGAUCGGCCACAUUGGGACUGAGACACGGCCCAAACUCCUACGGGAGGCAGCAGUAGGGAAUCUUCCGCAAUGGACGAAAGUCUGACGGAGCAACGCCGCGUGAGUGAAGAAGGUUUUCGGAUCGUAAAACUCUGUUGUCAGAGAAGAACACGUUGGAGAGUAACUGCUCCAGCCUUGACGGUAUCUGACCAGAAAGCCACGGCUAACUACGUGCCAG
rnacentral:rRNA from 1 species